rnacentral:rRNA from 1 species
UACGGGGGGCGCAAGCGUUGUUCGGAUUUACUGGGCGUAAAGGGCGCGUAGGCGGCCAGCACAAGUCAGUUGUGAAAUCUCCGAGCUUAACUCGGAACGGUCAACUGAUACUGUGCGGCUAGAGUGCGGAAGGGGCAACUGGAAUUCUUGGUGUAGCGGUGAAAUGCGUAGAUAUCAAGAGGAACACCUGCGGCGAAGGCGGGUUGCUGGGCCGACACUGACGCUGAGGCGCGAAAGCCAGGGGAGCGAACGGG